UACGAAGGGGGCUAGCGUUGCUCGGAAUUAUUGGGCGUAAAGGGCUCGUAGGCGGUCCAUCGCGUCGGGAGUGAAAAGCUGGGGCUCAACCCCAGUCCUGCUUUCGAUACGGGUGGACUAGAGGUAUGCAGGGGAGAACGGAAUUCCUGGUGUAGCGGUGAAAUGCGCAGAUAUCAGGAGGAACACCGGUGGCGAAGGCGGGUCUCUGGGCAGUAACUGACGCUGAGGAACGAAAGCGUGGGUAGCAAACAGG
rnacentral:rRNA from 1 species